CGGCCGCGUCGACGUUUGAUCCUGGGCUCGAGGAUGAACGCGUGGCGGCGUGCUUAACACAUGCAAGUCGAACGAUGAAGCCCAGCUUGCUGGGUGGAUUAGUGGCGAACGGGUGAGUAACACGUGAGUAACCUGCCCUUAACUCUGGGAUAAGCCUGGGAAACUGGGUCUAAUACCGGAUAGGAGCGCCUACCGCAUGGUGGGUGUUGGAAAGAUUUAUCGGUUUUGGAUGGACUCGCGGCCUAUCAGCUUGUUGGUGAGGUAAUGGCUCACCAAGGCGACGACGGGUAGCCGGCCUGAGAGGGUGACCGGCCACACUGGGACUGAGACACGGCCCAGACUCCUACGGGAGGCAGCAGUGGGGAAUAUUGCACAAUGGGCGCAAGCCUGAUGCAGCGACGCCGCGUGAGGGAUGACGGGUCCUUCGGGUUGGUUAAACCUACUUUCGUAGUAGGUAAGGAAGCGAAAGUGACGGUACCGUGCAGAAGAAGCACCGGCGUAACGUACGUCGCCAGCGACGACCGCGGUAACGUACGGUACGGGUGGCGUACGCGUUACG
rnacentral:rRNA from 1 species